GAGGCCGCCAUCUUUGUUCAGGGAAGAGAACACUUCCGGUUCGAAGCUACUGGGCGGGGUGCCUUGUCUGGGCUACCGAGGCGGAACCGGGUCUCAAGCUUCCUGCGUUCCCAGCUCUGCGCCUAGCUGAACGCAUAGCAGAAGCCUUCAUGUCACCUUGUGGAACUAUGAAAGCUAGCCAGCAGAGAGGAUGCUUCCAGCUCAGUUCUCGACUGAUUUCUCUACAUCAUGGAACCAAGCUGUGUAGUCUUCAGAAAGAAAAUGCUUUCAUGGAACCAAGAUGUCCAAAUCAAGAUACCCUGUGCACAGCUGUCACAGAGAACAGUAGAGGUCCUAAAGAAGAAAUUGUAUUUUGGUGUUGGUAGCCAAGAAAGAAGAUAGUCUUUGCCCUCUUCCAACCCAAAUAGCUUAAACUACCAGACCAGUCACUUCAAGGAUGUGGCUAUUGCAUACAUCAACUAACAGCAGCCGUGGUUAACUACAAGAUCAAGCCAGUCAAAAUUUCAGCAUGGAUGGGAGACGGUCCCCAAGACCCUGUCCCUACUGGAGGAGCUAUUGGCAGUUGAUGGCCGUUGCAGGAGGGAGAGUCACUGUCCUUUGGGUAUUUGGCUGCUGGUAGGUUGCUCAUGCCCCAGUGAAUGGCUAUAUUCCCAUGCACCAUGUGGUAUAUGGGUAGUGCUAAUUCGACUUAGGGAGUUAUUGAUAACAACAAUAAUUUUAAAAAAAGACAUGAAGUUGGGGCACUAGAGGGAGAUGGAGGGCAAUAGUGAUGGAUGGAUAUGAUCAAAAUGUACCAUAUACAUGUAUGGUUUUUCAAAGAACAAAAAUAUUAUUCAUAAAAAACUUUGUUGACCCAUCCCCUCACAUAUUCAUGUUCUCUAUUCUCCCCCUUCCACCCCUGCCUGACAGUGGCUUCCUCCAUUUAAGGUGUAUCAAGGUUCACCCACGUUUUAGCAUGUAUCAGUAUUUCAUUCCUUUUGUAGCCAAGUUGCACUCCGUUAUAUACAUACCAUAGCUGUUGGUUCAUCCACCUGCCGAUGCAGCGGCUGAAGCUGAUACCUUUGGGCUGCUAUGGACACUGGUCUGUGUUUGCUUGAGUGCCUGUUUCUAAUACUGUCAAGUAUGUGUCUCAGAGUGGACUUGCUGAGUCAAACUGGCUUCCUCGGCGAUGACAUUACUCUCCAUGUCCCCUGGAAGGACGGAGAGUUCAGUUUCUCCAUUUUCUUUAGUAUCAUGACUGUGUUAUUGACUGUGAAGUGGGCUUUCAUUUUGAAUAUUCAUCUAUUUCAUGAAGGGUCUCCCGAAUUCAUGUUGGCCUCAAAUUCACCAUGUCUCUGAUAAUGACCCUACCGGCUUCAUUUCGGUUUUCACUUUCCGAGUGGCCAUACCUUGAACGUCUUCCCAUACACUUAUCAACCAUAUGCACAGAUACUCGGAGAAGUAGCUGCUGAAGAAAAUAUUUUUCCUUUUUCUUUAAGAAGUGUUUUUAACCGUGUGGGUGUUUUUCCUGGAAGUAUGUCUAUGCAUCACUUGUUUUCCCAGUGCCCAUG